CGUCCGUGGGCACGGCGUGGGCCUAAACCGGAGGCGCCUGCCCGCGUCCGGCUGCGGUCACCCCAGGGAAGGGGCAGGUUUUUUGUUCGCCCCCACUUCUAAAAAUGGCCUAAAAUACGGGGACGUUGGGUCUGGUCACCUGUAGUUUGCCUGGAAGGUGUUUUCUGGGGAGCAGGCAGCUGAAACAGGCAUUUCUAAGGUUAAAAACCCUCUGGAGGGGAAAAAAAAACCCAAAGGAAAAUGACAGCUUGUAGAUCCCUCCUCGUCAGAGGAAAACAAAGGGCACAAAUCUAAUUCUCCCUCGGCAGCAGCCUCCACUUGCUUAUCUCAGGCUUUGCUGUUCAGUCGCAGGCCUCAGAGCUGCCAGACGCUUGCGCAUACGCCAAUAACGAGCACUCCGCUUAUUCCAGGGGCCGUUAACCCCCUGCCUCUGCCCUGAGGGACCAAGGCCUCCAGAAACUCCUGUGAUGCUGUCACCCGACGCGGCGCCCUCCCGAGCACGCGGCGUUGCGUCGCUGAGACACCCGGCGCUGCAGCUGGGAACCGACCGCCCCGUGGUGACGGCGCCCCAGAAACCCCCAGCUGAUGGAAGUAAAGCAACAGUCUUCUAUGAUGCUGAAGAGAAGGACGUAAAAAAAGAUGCAAAAUAUUUAUGGGCACUUUGAGAGACAAAGAACAUACACCCAUGGCUGAACCAGCAUGUCAGGCCCUUCUUAGAGACCUCCUGGCGUAGGAGCGAAGUUUGGAAGAGAGCUGUGGGUUCGUGAAGCUUUACCAGGGACAGCCGAUGGCGAAGAUCUUGCGCGUGUCAGCUACCAAAGGAAGAGCAAGGCAGCUGGAUGGGUGCUUUUGGCUCACCAGAGGACUGGCUAUGGCCCCUGGGGUCCCAGCUGGAGUCGAGCAGCUCUGCAGAUCCUUCCUCCAGCUACACCCCUCCCUCCGCAUCCCGCUCAAGCCAGGCGUGACUUGGGAGCGUGGCAAGGAGGUCUCGCUCUGCAGAGCACGGGAACCCGAGGUGAGGCACUGUUGCCCUGAUCCUGGAGGCCACGACGGGAUUUCGCACCCCGGGCAGGAAGCCGCGUACCACGAGUCCCUGCAGGUGCAGGGGCCACCGAUGCAGGACUCGGAUCACAGCGCUGAUGAAUCGGCCCCAAAUGCUCUGCAAUUUACAGCUGAGCUCACCAACCCCUCCUUAAUGCUCGGGAUGCAAAUCAGCGCAGCCCCUGGAAAAUCAGGGAAAAAGAGAGGAAAACUUAAGUUUUCCAUAGAAAAAAAAGAAAACGUCACCUGCAUUUUUAAUGCCAGCAAGGAAUUGCCCACAGAUUUUAAAAGCAGAACAUUCACCUGCUUUAAUUGUUCGUUUUCUUUAAUUUGUUGUUACCUCUUUUAUUUCUCUGCCCUGUACAGACCAAGGUACAUGCUUCGCUCUGCCGUAACAUGUUCUUGGGGUAAGAGCGAACCAAGAAAGGCUUCCCCCAGGGUUCGGUUGCUCUCUAAUGAAAUCAGUGGCAGGGUUCCUGCUGGCAGGAGAGGAGCCCUCACUGACUUUGUAGCGGCUCCUCGAGCGCGUGGCAUGACUGGGGACGACGUGAAGGCGGUGACAGCAGCCCCGGCAGCGCACAGCUUUCUCUCGUGGUGUGUUUAACGACUGGCGAAGCCCCUGGGACAAUUUUUAGUGGAACACAAGCACUGAAAAUAAUUGUGUAGUGAAAGUUUUACUUUCCAGAUCAAAAAAACCCCAAACUUUCUGCCCUCUGCUGUUUAGACCAGUAAAAAAGAGAGAGAUCUACAAAUCUGCAUCGAAUGCAUACAGCUGAGGCCCCAGCCUAACUGCUUUUGAAAAAAUAAUCUAUCUCAAGCUUGAAAUUCUUGGGCGCUUAGGUGUUCUAUGCGCUUGGACCUUUGCAUCUGUAGGAAGCUCUCCUGAACUCAGUGGACUAUCAACAAGGCGCCAGGGACCUAUUCACAAGCUGCUUACUUCGUUAAACCAAAAGUUUCCUGACGUACACAGAAAGGGCAGUUCGUCACCAUAAAGUUAAUUGCCCACAGUUACUCAAAACAUACAGAGGUCCCACGCUGAUGGUAACAAGCAUAUUCUCCAUACUUGAUUGGUCUCUAAAGAUGAAAUAGUGAUAUGCCUGACUUCCUCACAGAAUAUUCAGAAUUUAAUUUAUGUUUGUAAAUUGCUUCAAGAUUUUUAGAUGAAAAGCUCCAAGUACUAUUAUUUCAUUAUUGUAAUUAUUUCAUUAUAUGAUUGCAAGGGCUGCGUCAGUAUUUUCACUGUAGGCUUCCUCUAAUUAAAACGCAUCAAGGAUAUAAAAUUCAGGUUUGCAAUUUGUCUGUGUGCUUUCAGGGGAUAAUUCUGUAUUCAGAAGCAUUUUGCAUGUCCACAAUGUAAAACUAACUUCCAGAUUAAUGCAUAGCAGAAACUUCAUCAAAUCAUAUUAUUACUUCAACAACAUUUUUACAUUUUAAGACAGUGCAUUAGAUCAGAAAUGACAUUAGGCUAGACAUAAACCGUAUUAAAAAAAAAAAAAAAAAAAGAAAAAAACCCCCCCCCCCCCAAACAGCCACUCUCCCUCUCACACACAAUUCCCCUACCCCAAGAACAUAUGAAAAUGGAAGCAGAUACUGCAAUGAUAAGA
ensembl:lncRNA